rnacentral:rRNA from 1 species
UAGGGAAUAUUGGGCAAUGGUCGCAAGACUGACCCAGCCAUGCCGCGUGCAGGAAGAAGGCGCUCAGCGUUGUAAACUGCUUUUAUCAAGGAAGAAAAAGUUCUUGCGAGAACAAUUGACGGUACUUGAAGAAUAAGCCACGGCUAACUACGUGCCAGCAGCCGCGGUAAUACGUAGGUGGCAAGCGUUGUCCGGAUUUAUUGGGUUUAAAGGGUGCGUAGGUGGCUUGGUAAGUCAGCGGUAAAAGACGGCAGCUUAACUGUUAGUGCGCCGUUGAUACUGCCAAGCUUGAGUAAAGUUGAGGUGGGCGGAAUGAAUAGUGUAGCGGUGAAAUGCAUAGAUAUUAUUCAGAACGCCAAUUGCGAAGGCAGCUCACUUAGUUUUCACUGACACUGAGGCACGAAAGCGUGGGGAUCAAACA